UUUAGUGAUGGUAAUUUCCGCCUUUGUAGGUAUGAAAGGAUAACCAUCAAUCACUUGUCAAUUGGUCAAUUGCCGAAGUGAUGAAAAGGAAGGGCUUGAACAAUUCCCCCUCUUUGACUACCUCGAGGACUCGGAGUGUAAGAGAAAACACGGCAUCUGGAUGGGAUAAGAGAGUGGAUCAGGAUCACAGGUACGGAUCUGAUGGUGUGGAGCUGUGGAUGGGCUGAGGCGAGGGAAGACGGCCGCGCAGAGCGCGCUCUGACCGGGCGCACGCAGCAAGUGGACGCUGAUGGAGCGGCCGCUGGAGGAGAGCGCGCACGGGUAGAUGCGCGUGUGACGAUCCGCUGUGUCUGUCAAAGUGACUUGAAAACGAAGAAACUGAUGCGACACCACAGCGUUUAAGUUUCUUGCCUGUAAAUCUCUACACUGCUGGGGGAGAUAAAUCGUCCCAAACGAAAUGAAGACGCACGUCAAGGUUUUUUCUUCCAAGCAUGGCGGUGAUAAUUGGAUUGUGUGGACACCUGUAUGAGUGCAGUAUAUCCAGGGGAUUAGAGGAUGUGAUGGGUGUUGCAGGUUCUGUCCGAAGCCGUGGCUCCAUGUGCCUGCAACGCUUCACCUACAGGUCACCUACGGGAGGGUCAGCCCUGCAGGCGUCAUCAACUUUGACCUCAAGUCCACUACAUCGGUCAGGAAUGGUUUUUGUGCCUUCUGCUUCCAGUUGAUUUCCCAGAUGGAGUUUUGGGCUCUUUUUGUAAAUGCAGAGACAGAAGACCGGAGCCAAAUUCACACAAUCUCCAAACACAAAGAUUGAAUUCAAUCCAAAAUCUAAAAGACAGUCAUGGGAGUGAUUUAACCAACAUAUGGUCUCCAAUUCUGAUCACUUUCAAUCAGAAACUGUCUCAUGGGAUAAUCUUUUUGGAAUUGCAAUAGAUGUGCUGAAAAAAGUUAAUUGUUUAUUUUAAAGCUCUUUUUUAAGAUGCUAUGGAUAUCUCUUAACUAAAUCCUUGACUUGCCACUAGGAAAAACAGAAGGGGCAAUAUAAUUAAAUGUAUCACCUAUAAUACCGGCCUCUGGAAUGAUUCUACAAUGCUGAUUUCAAAAAUACUAUAUUUUAUGUGUUAAAUAAGCAAAUUUCUUAAUAAAAUGAAAAAAGCACUUUAUUAUAUCAUGUGACCUUCAUUCUCUGAUUCCCAUUGGUACUGUAGUUACGACCUCACUUUUACAUUUAUGCAUUUUUAUCAUGCGUUUGGUGGAUACUUCGAUCCAAAGCUAUUUAAUUUGUUGCAUGGCCAAUGUCACUCAUGUCAUCUGGUUCUUAAGGGCUUCUGUUUGGUUUGUUGCAUGCUUGCUUUAUUGCAGUGGCUUACACUGGGUGUGUCGAGCUGUCUCAUGAUCCAACUGGACCCAAAACAGAACUUUUAUGUCCAUUAGAGAGGAAUGUGGCCGCAAGCUCUUGUGAGAUAAACCAUGCAGGGAAAAACUUUCUCCAUGCUUCCCUGUCAGUCACCCACGCCAUCCUUGUGCUCCCAUUCAUGGAAUCUCUCUAAUGAGAGUGGAAAUGUCAGCUAUGAUACACUCGGAGAGAAAAAGAGAAACAGGGCGACGUACAAAGGGCUUUUAUGCAGCCUGCCUAGUAUUUUCUCCACGCUUGUAUUCCGGCCGCUUUGUGACUUGAUUAGUGGAUCCUCUCACACAUUUUCACACGUGAAUUUGCUUGGGGAUUCUUUUUAGUGAGGAACAGUCAGCCUACAUUGCUUGGAGCGGAGCAGUGUGUUGACGGUCAAACUGUUGAGGAUAACAGACAAACAUGUGCUUCACAAAACCUGAAGUACACCUAAUUAAACGAAACAAUAACUGAAUUAUUGCCAUAUUUAUGGACUGUUCUACACAUGGGUUACCCAACAGUCACCAUGCAAACUGUGAUGCACGUUGAUCAAGCCGUGAUGAUAAUGUCCAUGUGGAGCUCACUGUACAGGGCUUAUUGUUUGAGAUGGAGUGAAUGAGUGAACGCUGGUAAUGGUAUCUCCUUCCAGUGAUUUUCCAACUACAAAGAGGGAGAGGUGAUCUUAGGUGCCACGCUGGACAUGAUCAAUCAAACCCAGACAGUUCCCUCAGGACAGAGUUGAAAGGUCCAUCCACCUGUCUCACUUUUUAAGAUACAGUAUCCGUAUGUAUUCUCUGUGAGCGCAGGACAGCUUAUAACGCCCAUGUUCCUCGUCAGUAUAGAAGAUAGAAAACUGGUUAUCAAGCAGAAGAAUAGCAGAAUAAACGCACAUGCAUUUACAAUGGGAGUUUAUGAGGCAAUGCAGAAAUAUGAAGCUUGUGUUCUUGUUGAAUCGUUUAUGUUAAUGCUUGCGCGUUAUUUGAGCUGUAAAUUUGUGUAAAGCAUUUUUCUAGAGACAGGAUUUUUUUAUUUGGCAUUAGCAAGGUUGUUGUAUGUAACUCCUGUUUUGGCAGGAAAAUGGCACAUUCUUACAUUCUACAAUGCUGUCUUUGAAAUGAGAUUAGGUGUUAAAAAAGCAAAUGUGUUUUAAUUUUUUUUAACCCUGGCCCAAAAUACAUUGUAUGGGUCAAAAUGAUUGAUUUGUCUUUGAUGAAAAAAAAUCAUUAGGAUAUUAAUCAUGUUCCAUGAAGAUAUUUUGAAUUAUUUCCUACCCUAAAUAUAUAAAAAAUGUUAUUUUUGUGAGUGGUUGGCCUUCCAGCACAUCUGAUGAACAACUACACAGGCCAUUUUCUCAAUAUUUUGAUUUUUUCGCACUCUCAGAUUACAUAGUUUUAAAUGGUUGUAUCUCUGCCAUUUAUUGUCUUAUCAUAGCAACCCAUACAUCAGUAGAAAGCUUUAUUCAUCAUCUUUCAGAUUAUUUUAAAAUCUCAAUUUCGAGAAAUUAACCCAUAAAACUGGUUUUGUUGUCAAGGGUCAAAUAUAAUCUAAUCCGAUGGGCUGGCCUUCGAGAGAUGUAUUUGUGUCUUUGUAAUAACUUUCAUUAAA